GACGAACGCUGGCGGCGUGCCUAAUACAUGCAAGUAGGACGCAGUUGCGAACGGGUGGGCAACGCGUAGGUAACUACCUAUUAGAGGGGGAUAACUAUUGGAAACGAUAGCUAAUACCGCAUACUAGUAGAUGGACCUGCGUUGUAUUAGCUAGUAGGUAGGGUAAUGGCCUACCUAGGCAACGAGACAUAGCCGACUGGGGAGGGUGAUCGGGCAAAAUGGGACAUGGGAACGGCCCAGGCUCCUACGGGGUGCAGCAGUAGGGAAUCUUCGGCAAUGGGGGGAAACCUGACCGAGCAACGCCGCGGGAGUGGAGAAAGUUUUCGGAGCUUAAAGCUCUGGUGUUAAGGAAGCGGUACUUAACCAGAAAGGGACGGCUAACUACGUGCCAGCAGCCGCGGUAAUAC
rnacentral:rRNA from 1 species